rnacentral:tRNA from 1 species
GGCUGGUUAGCUCAGUUGGUUAGAGCGUGGUGCUGAUAACACCAAGGUCGUGGGUUCUAUCCCCAUUCGGUCC